AUUGAACGCUGGCGGCAUGCCUUACACAUGCAAGUCGAACGGCAGCACGGGUGCUUGCACCUGGUGGCGAGUGGCGAACGGGUGAGUAAUACAUCGGAACGUACCUUAUCGUGGGGGAUAACGCAGCGAAAGUUGCGCUAAUACCGCAUACGCCCUGAGGGGGAAAGCGGGGGACCGUAAGGCCUCGCGCGAUUAGAGCGGCCGAUGUCUGAUUAGCUUGUUGGUGAGGUAAAAGCUCACCAAGGCGAUGAUCAGUAGCUGGUCUGAGAGGACGAUCAGCCACACUGGGACUGAGACACGGCCCAGACUCCUACGGGAGGCAGCAGUGGGGAAUUUUGGACAAUGGGGGCAACCCUGAUCCAGCAAUGCCGCGUGAGUGAAGAAGGCCUUCGGGUUGUAAAGCUCUUUUGUCAGGGAAGAAACAGCAGCUCUAACACAGACUGCGAAUGACGGUACCUGAAGAAUAAGCACCGGCUAACUACGUGCCAGCAGCCGCGGUAAUACGUAGGGUGCGAGCGUUAAUCGGAAUUACUGGGCGUAAAGCGUGCGCAGGCGGUUAUACAAGACAGGCGUGAAAUCCCCGGGCUUAACUUGGGAAUGGCGUCUGUGACUGUAUAGCUAGAGUGUGUCAGAGGGGGGUGGAAUUCCACGUGUAGCAGUGAAAUGCGUAGAUAUGUGGAGGAACACC
rnacentral:rRNA from 1 species